rnacentral:rRNA from 1 species
GAUGAACGCUGGCGGCGUGCCUAAUACAUGCAAGUCGAGCGAACAGACGAGGAGCUUGCUCCUCUGACGUUAGCGGCGGACGGGCGAGUAACACGUGGAUAACCUACCUAUAAGACUGGGAUAACUUCGGGAAACCGGAGCUAAUACCGGAUAAUAUAUUGAACCGCAUGGUUCAAUAGUGAAAGACGGUUUUGCUGUCACUUAUAGAUGGAUCCGCGCCGCAUUAGCUAGUUGGUAAGGUAACGGCUUACCAAGGCGACGAUGCGUAGCCGACCUGAGAGGGUGAUCGGCCACACUGGAACUGAGACACGGUCCAGACUCCUACGAGAGGCAGCAGUAGGGAAUCUUCCGCAAUGGGCGAAAGCCUGACGGAGCAACGCCGCGUGAGUGAUGAAGGUCUUCGGAUCGUAAAACUCUGUUAUUAGGGAAGAACAAAUGUGUAAGUAACUAUGCACGUCUUGACGGUACCUAAUCAGAAAGCCACGGCUAACUACGUG